UGAGACACGGCCCAGACUCCUACGGGAGGCAGCAGUGGGGAAUCUUGCGCAAUGGGCGAAAGCCUGACGCAGCGACGCCGCGUGGGGGAUGAAGGCCUUCGGGUUGUAAACCCCUUUCAGCAGGGACGAAGCGAAAGUGACGGUACCUACAGAAGAAGGACCGGCUAACUACGUGCCAGCAGCCGCGGUGAUACGUAGGGUCCAAGCGUUGUCCGGAAUUAUUGGGCGUAAAGGGCUUGUAGGCGGUCCGUCGCGUCAGAAGUGAAAACUCAGGGCUCAACCCUGAGCCUGCUUUUGAUACGGGCGGACUAGAGGGAUGCAGGGGAGAACGGAAUUCCUGGUGGAGCGGUGGAAUGCGCAGAUAUCAGGAGGAACACCGGUGGCGAAGGCGGUUCUCUGGGCAUUACCUGACGCUGAGAAGCGAAAGCGUGGGGAGCAAACAGGCUUAGAUGCCCUGGUAGUCCACGCCGUAAACGGUGGGCACUAGGUGUGGGGGACAUUCCACGUUCUCCGUGCCGAAGCUAACGCAUUAAGUGCCCCGCCUGGGGAGUACGG
rnacentral:rRNA from 1 species